ensembl:lncRNA novel transcript, antisense to RWDD3
CAAAGAUCACAUUAAAAUAGGAGCCUACCAGCACUGCUUCCUCAUACUGGCUUCAUUCUCCCAGGCCAGCUGUUCCCACAAGUUCAAUCCAUGGCUUCAGCCCAAACCAUAAGGUCCAUCUCACCUUCACUGCAACAAAGAAGGGUUGUUAAAGCUGGACACAGAUUUGCUUGGCUUCACCCUCUGAUGUGUUCCACACCACUUCAUGCCACU